GACGAACGCUGGCGGCGUGCUUAACACAUGCAAGUCGAACGGAAAGGCCCCUUUGGGGGUACUCGAGUGGCGAACGGGUGAGUAACACGUGUGUAACCUGCCCUUGACUUCGGGAUAACUUCAGGAAACUGGGGCUAAUACCGGAUAGGAAUCCUUGCUGCAUGGUGGGGGUUGGAAAGCUUCGGCGGUUUUGGAUGGACUCGCGGCUUAUCAGCUUGUUGGUGGGGUAGUGGCCUACCAAGGCUUUGACGGGUAGCCGGCCUGAGAGGGCGACCGGCCACAUUGGGAAUGAGAUACGGCCCAGACUCCUACGGGAGGCAGCAGUGGGGAAUAUUGCACAAUGGGCGGAAGCCUGAUGCAGCAACGCCGCGUGCGGGAUGACGGCCUUCGGGUUGUAAACCGCUUUCAGCAGGGGCGAAGCUUGUGGUGACGGUACCUGCAGAAGAAGCACCGGCUAACUACGUG
rnacentral:rRNA from 1 species